rnacentral:rRNA from 1 species
UACGGAGGGGGCGAGCGUUAUUCGGAAUUAUUGGGCGUAAAGGGCGCGUAGGCGGCUGUACAAGUCAAAGGUGAAAUCCCUCGGCUCAACUGAGGAACUGCCUUUGAAACUGUACGGCUUGAGGCCGGGAGGGGGUAGCGGAAUUCCCAAUGUAGCGGUGAAGUGCGUAGAUAUUGGGAGGAACACCAGUGGCGAAGGCGGCUACCUGGACCGGUUCUGACGCUGAGGCGCGAAAGCGUGGGUAGCAAACAGG